rnacentral:tRNA from 1 species
UCGCAUGAAUCUGCGCGGCUGCAUCAUAUUCGGCCUUCUAAGCCGUAGGUCACACGUUCGAAUCGUGUAGGGCGGGCCA